rnacentral:rRNA from 1 species
GACGAACGCUGGCGGCGUGCUUAACACAUGCAAGUCGAACGGAAAGGCCCUGCUUUUGUGGGUGCUCGAGUGGCGAACGGGUGAGUAACACGUGAGUAACCUGCCCUUGACUUUGGGAUAACUUCAGGAAACUGGGGCUAAUACCGGAUAGGAGCUCCUGCUGCAUGGUGGGGGUUGGAAAGUUUCGGCGGUUGGGGAUGGACUCGCGGCUUAUCAGCUUGUUGGUGGGGUAGUGGCUUACCAAGGCUUUGACGGGUAGCCGGCCUGAGAGGGUGACCGGCCACAUUGGGACUGAGAUACGGCCCAGACUCCUACGGGAGGCAGCAGCGGGGAAUAUUGCACAAUGGGCGGAAGCCUGAUGCAGCAACGCCGCGUGCGGGAUGACGGCCUUCGGGUUGUAAACCGCUUUCGCCUGUGACGAAGCGUGAGUGACGGUAAUGGGUAAAGAAGCACCGGCUAACUACGUG